GGGAGGGACCCCGUGGAAGGUGAUUGGAUCAUGAGGGUGGUUCCCUCAUGCUGUUCUUGGGAUAGUGGGUUCUAUAAAAUUUAUGGUUUUAUAAUGCAGUUUUCCCUUCUCUUGCAUGCUCUCUCUCCCCUGUCACCAUGUAAGACGUACCUCUUCCCCUUUUGCCAUGAUUAUAAGUUUCCUGAAGCCUCCCCAGCCAUGCAGAACUGUGAGUCAAUUAAACCUCUUUUCUUUAUAAAUUACCCAGUCUCGGGUAUGUCUUUAUAGCAGUGUGAAGACGGACUAAUACAAUAUGCUAAUGCAAGUGGGAAAACUAAGAUUGAUUUUGGAAUGAAACAUGCAGUCUCAACUUAAGAACACCCAAUUUACAAAACUAUAUAUAUCCAGACAGAGUCAUACUGAAUGCCAUGUUCUCCCACAUCAAUGUCAAAUGCUUAGCAUGGCCAGCAAAAAGCUGUUCCUUUGCUGUAAUGCAACCGUGUCUUCUGAAUAUGGAUCCAUAUUCACUUUCCAUCUUAUCCUCCAUCAGACACACUCUUCUUUUCCUAAAGCAUUUGCAGGGCAACAGAGGGUUCCAGGUUUCAGAAUUUAAACAGUCGUAUCUCAUUGAAAAUAAGUUUAAUGAUUAUUAAGUUUCCAAGCUAGAUUACAGAAGUCUUUUUAGCCCAUAUCAUAAAUAAAAUAGUUCUGAAUUUUUCGUAUGGAAAAAUAUACUCUGAGUUCCAAGCAAACAACUUAAGAAAAUUUUUAGAACUAACACAUUCCUAUAUUGGGAAGAGCUCAAAAGUCUGUUCUUCCUCCCCAUCCACUGUUGUUUAAUUAAUCUCUUAAUAUCAUAAAGUCCCUCAUGUGCCAAGUGUAGACAGUCAUUUUUGAAUCAGGGCUCACUUUGUUAGCUUUUUUGUCAAUUAAACCUCUUUUCUAUAUAAAUUACCGAGUCUCAAGUAUGUCUUCAUAGCAGUGUGAAAACAGACUAAUACAGGAAUUUGGUACCAGGAGUGGGGCAUUGCUAUAAAGAUACUUGAAAGUGUGGAAGCACCUUUGGAACUGGGUAACGGGUAGAGGUUGGAAGAGUUUGGAGGGCUCAGAAGAAGACAGGAAGAUGAAGGAAAGUUUGGAGCUUCCUGGAGACUUGUUGAAUGGUUUUAACCAAAAUGCUGACAGUGAUGUGGACGAUUAAGUCCACACUGAGGUGGUCUCAGAAGGAGAUGAGGAACUUAUUGGGAACUGGAGUUGCCAAUAGAUCAGCAGUUAACCAGAAGCUUGAGUUGAGUAUGGACCUGACAUAUGGAUAGACACAUGUCUGCUUCAUUUUCUAUUUCCCCAGCAUGUAGGUGCAGCACCCAGCCCCUAGUUGUUUAUCAAUUAUAGGUCUUGAUGGUCAUGUCCCCAGCCUCCCGCCUCAGGAGUAGGCUUCACAUGUCUCCCUUUCAGAAACAAAGCCACGUAAGACUCCAAAACCCCGCCUUCCCUUGGGCUCCACACAAUCAGCAUACAUCUUUCCUUAUCUGUUUUGUGCUCUGAAAAUCGUGUCUACCUCCAAAUGAUACAUCUUUAAAGUGAGUCACCCCUCCUCACAAUCUACUCCAAAAUUUCCAACAAGUUUUCUUCUUUUCAUUCUUCCUCCCACCAGCCUAUCCUAUUCCCUUCUCUCCCCCCACAAAAUCUAGCUCUUCUUUAAAUACAUUUAAACAUUUUCGCUAGGACAUUUCAUCUAUACAGGAUAUGCUAUAUUCUAACUAUUUCUUAGUAAACAUUGAAGGGAGUUUCUUCCUUUAUUCAAGUAUGGAACCCUGCUCAAUAUCCUUUUGGUCUUCAUAUGCCUUCUUUCAAGGCCUUUGUGAAAUUUUUUUCCAUGCCUGAAAGCCGGUGGGGUUUUACACAGGGACUGCGAUGGCUAAAUCCAAGGCAGAGUGGGAUCUUUAUCUAUUAACCAUUUGAUAACUCAAGUUUAUCCCUUGAUGAAUGAAUAAGUUAUCAUUUGCCUUUGGGUCCCAUUCUUGAGUGGUCAUGGAGAGUUCUGUAGCUCACCCUCUUUAUACUCAUAAUUUGCACAAAUUUCACCUAAGAGUAUUUACUUAACCACUUUAAUUCAAUUUGUCUCUACCUAAGACAUUUAAUUCAACAAAUAUUUUUUAAGCUUCUCUAUAAAAGGGACUCUGGCAACUUUCAGACCCGCACUGUAGCACCAGCUCUCUGCUGGCCCACCCCUUGCAGACUUUGGGCUUGCCUGCCUUCAAAAUCAUGUGAGUCAAUUCCUUAAAAUAAAUAUAUUUUUAUUUAUUUAUAUAUAUGUUUGCACACACACGCGAAUCUUAUUUUUUCUGUUUCUCUGGAGAAUUCUGACUAAUGCACCCCCAUUCACCAUCCAGGCUUUUGAGGAGAAAGAUACCAAUCUUAGCAGCAGAGGACACUCUGGAUAGAGCUAGGAGUUUGUUGCAGAGUCUGACAAAAGUUCCCUCUGCAGAAGGGAUGGAAGGAUAGCCUUGGGGGUUGAUUUAGGACUGGGUGUAUGACAUGGGGGAAAAGAAAUCCCUGGGGGAGCUAAAUGAGGGGAGGUGGACCCCUUAUGAUAGUUUAUCAGAGCAAUCUAAGAAAUCAUGUAGGCCUCUAAGAAAGCAUCAAGAAUCAAUGCAAUUUGAUUAAUUGACUUAAAAUAUGUUGAACUUUUCAGCCUCCAUUGUGUAUUUUUGGUGCAAUACUCUGUGCAACUAUUUCAUCCAAGACCAGAAGGGGCUGGAAGAUUGCCUGCUUCACAUUAAAACCCUCCUUAUUGUAUUGGUGCUGACACGACACAAGGAUAUGCAGUCUUUAUCCAGUCCUUAUUGCUCACAGAAAGAUACCAGUCCUUACUGCUCACAGAAAGUAGUGAAGCCUCCCUUCACUCACAGAGCCCACACAGGUAUGCCCUGGUUUAUGUAAUGAAUGGGCUGCUACAAAUAGGUGUGAUGCAUGCCUUUGUGAAUCACUUUAUAUUUUGAAGACACAUUAGAGGAGCUGGCUAUUUCAAAGAAAUUUCACAAGUGCCUCAUUUCUUAAUGUCACAAGCAUUUCUGAUUUAUAAUCAUAACCCCUUUCUAAUGUAUUAGCUUAUGAAGUUCCAUUUUUUGCCUAAGAGGUUUAAUCAAAGCAAGAUAAAACUAUGCUUAAUAAUAUUCAGUUACCUGAAAGAGCUAUUGCAGAAAUGCCUAAUAUAUUACCAGAAAGUAGCUUAAUGUCUCAAAUAAAUGUCAAGUUGUCCAAAUCAAACUGAUAGGCAGCUUAAUGAGGGAUAAAUGUCAUAAUUAUCCAUAUUUCUCCACAUUUUUUUUAGAAAAAAACAUUCACACAAUGAAGGGAAUCAGAAUCUGUUUUUAUAUCCCUAGAGUUAUAAACAUUUGUAUCAAAAUAUUUACAAUUAUAGUA
rnacentral:lncRNA from 10 species